rnacentral:misc_RNA from 1 species
AUAAGACCACCCAUUCCAACAAGGGCAGCAUAACCAAGAGUCAGCUUCUGAGACAUAGACAAUGCCAUCUUCUUCUUCUCACCGCUGCUACCGUCCAAUGAAUCCCCUUCACCUUCGUUACUCUGAUCACCACCACUACCAGCACCUCCUUGUCCUCCGCUAUUAUCACCGCCUCCACCACCACCCCCACCGCCGCGACCUCCUAUAUCACCAUAACC